UUACAAAAUAUAAUUAAAACUCAUUGGACAAGUGACAACUUUCCAUACAGCUGGCUCUGAGGUGAAUGCAUACGCUGAAGUUGCCACAAAUCCUGGAAUCCUCAAGAGAACAAGCAAGCCUAGGAAAUCGAAAGCAAGAAAGAUAAAGAGGAGCAGAAGCAGGAAGGCCCUUUGGGGAGCAUCUGUGCCUAGAUUCAACAUUCUGAAAUCACUGCCCCUGGACAGACCAGAAGCUGGAAAAAGGCUAAGAAGUAUCAAAACUCAAACCAAUCAGGCAUGGCCAGGGGUCCCUUCCCUUCCCUGGGAGGAUCAACCCAGGCAGGUACAGUUAAUUUCCCCCAGGAUGAGUAGCUGCCGAGCUGCACCCAGGCCCAGGGAAGGCCUGCCCCAAACACAUGGAAGCCAGAGCAAAGGAAACUCCCAACCAAGACCAACUCAACUCCUGCUGGAAUCCAGACACUCACAGAACCUUUCCUGGCUUAUUUUGGCAAGAAGAUGACUGUGGAGAAGAAGAUGGAAUGUUUUCCGGGAGCAGAACUCUGCCAGGCCUGGCGGUAUAUUCCUUCCUAUAAGCCCAGCGCUCUCAGAGUGGAUCACCGGUUCAAGUCCAACCCAGAAAACAGCAGAUUCUCAAAAGAACUUGGGCAGUGAAAUGGUCAAUUCAUUAGAAAGAAACAGCUUGAAGCAACCCCUUCCACCAUGGCCAUGAGCGGUUGUGAGCGUGGAGGCUGCGGCAAUCCAGUACAGGAGUCACCUGUGUUUACUGGGACCCACGGCAUGCUGGGACCUGGAAUACAGGGAAACCAAGCAACCCCUCCCCAAUGCCUGUUUUGCUUUGUUGAACUUAAAUAUACAUGAAAGUAUGGACAGCUAUUUUGAAGAGACACUAUGACAAGCCAUUAGUGACUUCUCUAUUGUCUGGUUUGGAAGACCUAAAAUGCCUUCCUCAUUCUGUUCGGAUCAGUUUUGUACUAUGUUAUUUUGUAUGAAAUCUCCGUAUAUGGACGACUAUUUGGAAAAAAAGGCAAGAGACAAUAUGAUAGAUAGUGAAGAUCUUAGGUCGUCUAGCUCUGAAAUUUAUAUCUGUUACAUUGCUGUCUUAUGUCCUAUUUUGUUCUGUUUUGUUGUAUUUAAUUUUACUCCCCUUUAAAAUAAAAAAAAAUCUGAAUUGAGUGAAAAUACACAUUGCACUUCAAAGACUCACUGCAAAAUUAAAUAAACAAAUAGAAGAGGUAAAGUACCUUGUUAAUAUUUUUAUAUUGGCUACAUAUUGAAAUGAUAAUAUUUUGAAGAUAUUGAGUUAAAUAAACCAUUAGAUUAACUUCA